UACAGAGGUCUCAAGCGUUGUUCGGAUUCAUUGGGCGUAAAGGGUGCGUAGGCGGCGCGGUAAGUCGGGUGUGAAAUCUCGGAGCUUAACUCCGAAACUGCAUUCGAUACUGCCGUGCUUGAGGACUGGAGAGGAGACUGGAAUUCAUGGUGUAGCAGUGAAAUGCGUAGAGAUCAUGAGGAACACCGGUGGCGAAGGCGGUUCUCUGGGCAUUACCUGACGCUGAGGAGCGAAAGUGUGGGGAGCGAACAGG
rnacentral:rRNA from 1 species